UACGGAGGGUGCAAGCGUUAUCCGGAUUUACUGGGUUUAAAGGGUGCGUAGGUGGGUCUGUAAGUCAGUGGUGAAAUCUCCGAGCUUAACUCGGAAACUGCCAUUGAUACUAUAGGUCUUGAAUUAUCUGGAGGUAAGCGGAAUAUGUCAUGUAGCGGUGAAAUGCUUAGAUAUGACAUAGAACACCAAUUGCGAAGGCAGCUCACUACACAAUCAUUGACUCUGAGGCACGAAAGCGUGGGGAUCAAACAGG
rnacentral:rRNA from 1 species